GUCCAGCACCCCAGCUCUCAGCAGCCCACAUUUUUCCACACUCAGUAAUUAAUUCCCUAAAGGGCUUUCUUCCUCAGGGAGGUUUUCCAGUAAACAAAUACGCACAGUUACAGCCAAUGACUUGAGAAAGGCAGCGAGUGGCCUCAGGCCUUUUGGCGGACACUGCUUUGGCACAACCGAUCACAUCACCCUUCUUCUGCUUUUUGAAGAAAAGUCUGAUUAUGUGUUAGAAGCGCGCUGACCUUUAACCACCCUUGCUCUUCUUCACUGAAAACGUGAAUCUGGCUCUGGCAGUUUCAUGCCAAAUGAAGACCAAAGACCGAACUAGCGGGAUAUCAGUGCUGGAAGUAGGAAGCCAAAUGGAGCAAAUGGCUGACCCGCAGUGACUUUCCUGUUGCUGAUGGAGGCCGUGAAGGGAUGGACAAGGGGCGGUGAAGACGCUUAUCUCAACGGGAAGCACGUCAUGACCUGUGAGCUUCAUUGGACCAUGCAGCAAAAGUCACUGCACUGCCGGAGCACUGGAUUGGGUGACCACCUGGAGAAGCAGCGUGGC